rnacentral:rRNA from 1 species
UACGUAGGGGGCGAGCGUUGUCCGGAUUUAUUGGGCGUAAAAGGGCCCGCAGGUGGUCCCGUGCGUCGCGCGUGAAAUACCCCGGCUCAACUGGGGGGUGUCGUGCGAUACGGCGGGACUGGAGGCCAGUAGGGGGAUGCGGAAUUCCCGGUGUAGCAGUGAAAUGCGUAGAGAUCGGGAGGAACAUCCGUGGCGAAGGCGGGGUCUCUG